GCAGGGUUUGAGCUGCCAGGGAAACAUGGGCAUGACUUUUGUUCCCAGGACCAGGAUUCCUUGCUGGGAGAUUCUCAGAACCCGCAGACCUCAGGAGUGCCACUUGCCUCCACAUUUGCAAUGGCCUCACCCCACUUCUUACAGUCUCCCACUCACAACCCACCCUCUUCACUUAAAGAGCUCUUCUCUCCAAAUCCACUUGCCAACAAGCCAGCUCAGCCAAACUUAAGGGGAUGGGAAACAGAUUGGGUUCAGAUGAUUUCUUUAAAAAAGAAACCCAAACCAAUAAGCACGUACUGAGCGCUUGCAGACGCUGGGCUGUCACAUACACUUCCUCCUUCUCGCAGCAAGCAGGGCUGUGGCUGUCACCCCAGCCCAGGAGAGGGACGUGAGAGCCAAAGGAGUCAGCAUCACAGCCUGGAGACAAAGCUGGGAUUUUGACUGGAU
rnacentral:lncRNA from 1 species